CCAGCUACCGCCGCCGACGCCGUGGACCAGCACGAAGUGCGCAGGCGGGGAUUUUGCAGACCAGGUGUUCGAUGAAAGUCCUGAACCAGCUUGUCCGGUUUCCAUGAUUGGUGAAUAGUUUGGUUUCUCGAGGUUUCCGUCUAUUGGGUUUUAUUUUUUUGCUUGAUAGGAUUCGUUAGCUUGUUCCGGCGAUUAUAUAGAUGAGCGGCAGAU
rnacentral:lncRNA from 1 species